GACGAACGCUGGCGGCGUGCUUAACACAUGCAAGUCAAACGGUGAAGCUCCAGCUUGCUGGAGUGGAUCAGUGGCGAACGGGUGAGUAACACGUGAGCAACCUGCCCCUGACUCUGGAAUAAGCGCUGGAAACGGCGUCUAAUACUGGAUACGAGAAGGGUCCGCAUGGGCACUUUCUGGAAAGUUUUUCGGUUGGGGAUGGGCUCGCGGCCUAUCAGCUUGUUGGUGAGGUAAUGGCUCACCAAGGCGACGACGGGUAGCCGGCCUGAGAGGGCGACCGGCCACACUGGGACUGAGACACGGCCCAGACUCCUACGGGAGGCAGCAGUGGGGAAUAUUGCACAAUGGGCGAAAGCCUGAUGCAGCGACGCCGCGUGAGGGAUGACGGCCUUCGGGUUGUAAACCUCUUUCAGCAGGGAAGAAGCGAAAGUGACGGUACCUGCAGAAGAAGCACCGGCUAACUACGUG
rnacentral:rRNA from 1 species